GGCUUAUUGAUAAAUAAUUUUAAGUCUAGCCUGCCCUCUGAGGAUUUAAAUGGCCGCAGUAUUUUGACUGUGCUAAGGUAGCAUAAUAAUUAGUUUUUUAAUUGAAAGCUGGUAUGAAUGGUAUUAUGAGAAAAUUUCUGUCUCUUUUAAAAAGUUAAAAUUUUAUUUUUAAGUAAAAAAGCUUAAAUAUUAUUAAAAGACGAGAAGACCCUAUAGAAUUUUAUUUAAGUGGAUUUUUAGUGGGAUUAGUAAUUAAUAUUUAAAAAUAACUUUAUAUUUAAUUGGGGUGAUUAGAAAAAUUAAAUAUCUUUUUUUUAUAAAAACAUUAAUUUAUGUUUAGAUGAUUCAUAUUAAUGAUUAAAGAAUUAAUUACCUUAGGGAUAACAGCGUAAUUUUUUUUUAGAGUUCAAAUUAAAAGGAAAGAUUGCGACCUCGAUGUUGGAUUAAAAUUAAUUUUUGGCGUAGUAGCUAAAGGAUUAAGUCUGUUCGACUUUAAAAAUUUUACA
rnacentral:rRNA from 1 species